GAUGAACGCUGGCGGCGUGCCUAAUACAUGCAAGUCGAGCGAACAGACGAGGAGCUUGCUCCUCUGACGUUAGCGGCGGACGGGUGAGUAACACGUGGAUAACCUACCUAUAAGACUGGGAUAACUUCGGGAAACCGGAGCUAAUACCGGAUAAUAUAUUGAACCGCAUGGUUCAAUAGUGAAAGACGGUUUUGCUGUCACUUAUAGAUGGAUCCGCGCCGCAUUAGCUAGUUGGUAAGGUAACGGCUUACCAAGGCAACGAUGCGUAGCCGACCUGAGAGGGUGAUCGGCCACACUGGCACUGAGACACAGUCCAGACUCCUACGGGAGGCAGCAGUAGGGAAUCUUCCGCGAUGGGCGAAAGCCUGACGGAGCAACGCCGCGUGAGUGAUGAAGGUCUUCUGAUCGUAAAACUCUGUUAUUAGGGAAGAACAAAUGUGUAAGUAACUAUGCACGUCUUGACGGUACCUAAUCAGAAAGCCACGGCUAACUACGUG
rnacentral:rRNA from 1 species